rnacentral:rRNA from 1 species
AGAGUUUGAUUCUGGCUCAGGAUGAACGCUAGCGACAGGCUUAACACAUGCAAGUCGAGGGCAGCAUAGAAGUAGCAAGUACUUUGGGUGGCGACUGGCGCACGGGUGAGUAACGCGUAUGCAACCUACCUAUCGAGAGGGGAAUAACCCGGCGAAAGUCGGACUAAUACCGCAUAAAACAGGGGCACCGCAUGGUGAUAUUUGUUAAAGAAAUUCGCUGAUAGAUGGGCAUGCGUUCCAUUAGGUAGUUGGUGAGGUAACGGCUCACCAAGCCGACGAUGGAUAGGGGAACUGAGAGGUUGGUCCCCCACACUGGUACUGAGACACGGACCAGACUCCUACGGGAGGCAGCAGUGAGGAAUAUUGGUCAAUGGGCGGGAGCCUGAACCAGCCAAGUCCGCGUGAAGGAAGAAGGAUCUAUGGUUCGUAAACUUCUUUUGCAGGGGAAUAAAGUGCAGGACGUGUCCUGUUUUGUAUGUACCCUGAGAAUAAGGAUCGGCUAACUCCGUGCCAGCCGCGGC